rnacentral:lncRNA from 1 species
GGUGGUCCUGGGAGGGGACAUUAGGACUUAGCACGAGAGCCACCGGGCUCUGGGCUGCGGAGGAGGUUGGAGGUGACCUUCCAGAAGGAACGUGGGACAAGGGAGCAAGUGAGGACCUGGUGGGUAGUGGUUACUCUGUGAGAAGCCAGCAGCACCAACCAAAUAGAAGGUGGAGAAGUGGCCCCCAGCUUCCCAGUUUGGGUUUGGGCCAAGACAACUAAGAAAAGGGUCCACCGUCUUCACUCCAGGUCAGCACAAGAAAGCUGCCAUGAUGGCUCCUGUGGAGAGACUCCCAUGCCUGCAGGUGGAAACCGAGGGGAUGAAGAUGAGAAGACCUCUACCCGGCACUGGUUUGGAAAACAGAGGACUGUCCCCUGAGCCUGCCAGCGAGUCACAUGUUUGGGUCCCUCAGCAGCCAGAGAAACGAUGAUACAGGACACUGGGGCAGGACAAAGGAGUGUGGCAGUAUUGUGGCCUCCAUGCAGAUGGUAGUGUGUGGCUCCAUUGUCUCUGCUGUGUGGAUGAGGAGCCUUAGCUCUGAGAAGAAGAGCCUUUCACAUCCUCACAACUUGUCCCAAUAGCACUGAACUCUUUUGAUCUGGAGAGAUCUGGAGGAGGGUCUUCAAAUGACCCUGCAUUGUAUCAAGUAGAAAAAUGUCUAACCAAGACAGAGGAGAAUACGAACCCUCUCAGCUCAUAGACAGGUGAUGAUGUGGUUUCCAACUGACUUUCAAGCAAACAGAUUUCCAAGCGUGCUUGAAGAGGGCAGUAAAUGAGAAGGCACAAGAUGCAAGAAGAGAGAGGGGUUUGCUGGAAAUCGUGGCUGACCACCUCAGAAGGACCCAGAAGACCCGAACUUUCUGGUUUUGCCUUUCACCUUGCUCUGAAACUUCUCCCAACACUGGAAGACAAGAAAGUUCCGCCCUACCUCCGCCCCACCUCCGCCCCCCGGACCAGGGAGAUUCUUCUCUUUGGGCAAGCAGGCUUGCUGGGCAAUCGUGAGCUGCUGAGUUCCCAUCCCCAUAGAAAGCUGGACAUGGACAUGCAUGCCUGUUUCUGCAGCAUGCUCAACUCCAGGAGCUCUCUGGUCUCCUAUAAAUAAAGGAUAACACAUUCGGCCUUCUUACCAUUUCAAAA